rnacentral:tRNA from 1 species
UCCCUUGUAGCUCAGUUAGUAAAGAAUCUGCCUGCAAUGCAGGAGACCCGGGUUCCAUCCCUGGGUGGGGAA